CUGCAAACUCGCGGGCACGCACCGCGCUCGGGGAGCCAAGGGACUCGGGGGAGGGGACGCGCGCGGAAGGCGCCAGCUUCCUCUCGCCCGCCCCUAGCAACAGCCAGUCGAGGUUGGAGGCACCCGGGGCCCCAGCACGGCAGAGCCGAGGGGUGGCGGCGGCGGUUGCUUCCCUUUUCUCCAGCCGAGCCCUGGAACGACUCAGGGACUGGCCCUAAAAAGAGCAGGAAAUCUUGUUUACCGCCCGGAGAGAGGAGCCGUUCGAGCCUUUGUCUGGAAAGUCUGCAUCUCCGGAUCCGGCUGCAAUGUGUUCCUGGUGACAUUAGCACUGGGCAGACCGGUCGGAGGAGGCGGGUAGCCAGGGUCUGCUCUGCUUUCGAAGGCGGAUCGAGAGAGUGACUUUUAUGCAUUUGUUUUAAUUUAUGGAAAUUUCUUUUUUUCCCCUCCCUCGCUCGCUGCCGGGCAUGUCCUGAUCCGGCGGCCGCUCCUACCGCCCCAGGCUGCCGAUCGUAGCGUUUCCAGCGGGUCUCCCUCCCUCACUCCCGACUUUGCAACACCGCGUUCCGGGAGGACCGACCUCGGCGAGGAAGGAGGCGGGGGAGCCACGAACACCGGACCCAAACCUUGACAUGCUCUCGGGAGGAGAGGAGGAAGCCAGGAGCUGAGCGCACCGCGAAGGCUGCUUCGCCGCGGGUUCCGAGGAGCGCCCUGCCUUGCGCCUGGGCGGCAGCCUUGUUGGUCGGGGGGG
rnacentral:lncRNA from 1 species